GACCUUUCUGAUAUCCCAGGACGACAUCUUUUAAAACCUUGCUAGCAAGCUAGCUGUAACAUUUUUGUUCUGAUGUUUCAAAUUCACUACGAAACUUCGCUAUCGUCAGCAAGCGGAACUUACUCGUCAGCCACGCCCCCCACCCCACAUGAUGGAUUAUGUCACAUCCUCUGCCUUCAUGGAAAAGUAUCAGUUACUGGAAUUUGAUUUAUUUCAUAUAUAUAUUAAUUUUUUUUAUGCGCAUUUAGUAUUUUCUUGUAUAUACCGGUGUUUUUUUUGUUUUUUGUUAGACAUGUUUGAUGUAGAAGUUGUAAAAGUUGUUAAUUUUGUAUUACAUUUGAUUUUUUAUGUAACGUA